rnacentral:rRNA from 1 species
GACGAACGCUGGCGGCGUGCUUAACACAUGCAAGUCGAACGGAAAGGCCCUGCUUUUGUGGGGUGCUCGAGUGGCGAACGGGUGAGUAACACGUGAGUAACCUGCCCUUGACUUUGGGAUAACUUCAGGAAACUGGGGCUAAUACCGGAUAGGAGCUCCUGCUGCAUGGUGGGGGUUGGAAAGUUUCGGCGGUUGGGGAUGGACUCGCGGCUUAUCAGCUUGUUGGUGGGGUAGUGGCUUACCAAGGCUUUGACGGGUAGCCGGCCUGAGAGGGUGACCGGCCACAUUGGGACUGAGAUACGGCCCAGACUCCUACGGGAGGCAGCAGUGGGGAAUAUUGCACAAUGGGCGGAAGCCUGAUGCAGCAACGCCGCGUGCGGGAUGACUGCCUUCGGGUUGUAAACCGCUUCCGCCUGUGACGAAGCGUGAGUGACGGUAAUGGGUAAAGAAGCACCGGCUAACUACGUGCCAGCAGCCGCGGUGAUACGUAGGGUGCGAGCGUUGUCCGGAUUUAUUGGGCGUAAAGGGCUCGUAGGUGGUUGAUCGCGUCGGAAGUGUAAUCUUGGGGCUUAACCCUGAGCGUGCUUUCGAUACGGGUUGACUUGAGGAAGGUAGGGGAGAAUGGAAUUCCUGGUGGAGCGGUGGAAUGCGCAGAUAUCAGGAGGAACACCAGUGGCGAAGGCGGUUCUCUGGGCCUUUCCUGACGCUGAGGAGCGAAAGCGUGGGGAGCGAACAGGCUUAGAUACCCUGGUAGUCCACGCUGUAAACGGUGGGUACUAGGUGUGGGGUCCAUUCCACGGGUUCCGUGCCGUAGCUAACGCUUUAAGUACCCCGCCUGGGGAGUACGGCCGCAAGGCUAAAACUCAAAGGAAUUGACGGGGCCCCGCACAAGCGGCGGAGCAUGCGGAUUAAUUCGAUGCAACGCGUAGAACCUUACCUGGGUUUGACAUGGAUCGGGAGUGCUCAGAGAUGGGUGUGCCUCUUUUGGGGUCGGUUCACAGGUGGUGCAUGCCUGUCGUCAGCUCGUGUCGUGAGAUGUUGGGUUAAGUCCCGCAACGAGCGCAACCCUUGUUCACUGUUGCCAGCACGUUAUGGUGGGGACUCAGUGGAGACCGCCGGGGUCAACUCGGAGGAAGGUGGGGAUGACGUCAAGUCCUCAUGCCCCUUAUGUCCAGGGCUUCACGCAUGCUACAAUGGCUGGUACAGAGAGUGGCGAGCCUGUGAGGGUGAGCGAAUCUCGGAAAGCCGGUCUCAGUUCGGAUUGGGGUCUGCAACUCGACCUCAUGAAGUCGGAGUCGCUAGUAAUCGCAGAUCAGCAACGCUGCGGUGAAUACGUUCCCGGG